UACGUAGGGUGCGAGCGUUGUCCGGAAUUAUUGGGCGUAAAGAGCUUGUAGGCGGUUUUGUCGCGUCUGCUGUGAAAUCUCAAGGCUCAACCUUGAGCUUGCAGUGGGUACGGGCAGACUAGAGUGUGGUAGGGGGAGACUGGAAUUCCUGGUGUAGCGGUGAAAUGCGCAGAUAUCAGGAGGAACACCGAUGGCGAAGGCAGGUCUCUGGGGCCACU
rnacentral:rRNA from 1 species